rnacentral:tRNA from 1 species
AGGGGAAUCGUACAGCGGUCAGUACCCCAACCUUUGACGUUGGUAACCUUGGUUCAAAUCCAAGUUCCUCUUCCA